GACGAACGCUGGCGGCGUGCUUAACACAUGCAAGUCGAACGAAGAGCGAUGGAAGCUUGCUUCUAUCAAUCUUAGUGGCGAACGGGUGAGUAACGCGUAAUCAACCUGCCCUUCAGAGGGGGACAACAGUUGGAAACGACUGCUAAUACCGCAUACGAUCUAACCUCGGCAUCGAGGAAAGAUGAAAGGUGGCCUCUAUUUAUAAGCUAUCACUGAAGGAGGGGAUUGCGUCUGAUUAGCUAGUUGGGGGGGUAACGGCCCACCAAGGCGAUGAUCAGUAGCCGGUCUGAGAGGAUGAACGGCCACAUUGGGACUGAGACACGGCCCAGACUCCUACGGGAGGCAGCAGUGGGGAAUCUUCCGCAAUGGACGAAAGUCUGACGGAGCAACGCCGCGUGAGUGAUGAUGGCCUUCGGGUUGUAAAGCUCUGUUAAUCGGGACGAAAGGCCUUCUUGCGAACAGUUAAAAGGAUGACGGUACCGGAAAGAAA
rnacentral:rRNA from 1 species